AGAUUGAACGCUGGCGGCAUGCCUUACACAUGCAAGUCGAGCGGCAGCGCGGGGGCAACCCUGGCGGCGAGCGGCGAACGGGUGAGUAAUGCAUCGGAACGUGUCCUCUUGUGGGGGAUAACCAGUCGAAAGAUUGGCUAAUACCGCAUGAGAUCGAGAGAUGAAAGCAGGGGACCGCAAGGCCCUGCGCGAGAGGAGCGGCCGAUGCCGGAUUAGCUAGUUGGUGGGGUAACGGCCUACCAAGGCUACGAUCCGUAGCUGGUCUGAGAGGACGACCAGCCACACUGGGGACUGAGACACGGCCCAGACUCCUACGGGAGGCAGCAGUGGGGAAUUUUGGACAAGUGGGGGAAACCCUGAUGCAGCGACGCCGCGUGCGGGAAGAAGGCCUUCGGGUCGUAAACCGU
rnacentral:rRNA from 1 species